rnacentral:rRNA from 1 species
GAUGAACGCUGGCGGCGUGCCUAAUACAUGCAAGUCGAGCGAACAGACGAGGAGCUUGCUCCUCUGACGUUAGCGGCGGACGGGUGAGUAACACGUGGAUAACCUACCUAUAAGACUGGGAUAACUUCGGGAAACCGGAGCUAAUACCGGAUAAUAUAUUGAACCGCAUGGUUCAAUAGUGAAAGACGGUUUUGCUGUCACUUAUAGAUGGAUCCGCGCCGCAUUAGCUAGUUGGUAAGGUAACGGCUUACGAAGGCAACGAUGCGUAGCCGACCUGACAGGGUGAUCGGCCACACUGGAACUGAGACACGGUCCAGACUCCUACGAGAGGCAGCAGUAGGGAAUCUUCCGCAAUGGGCGAAAGCUUGACGGAGCAACGCCGCGUGAGUGAUGAAGGUCUUCGGAUCGUAAAACUCUGUUAUUAGGGAAGAACAAAUGUGUAAGUAACUAUGCACGUCUUGACGGUACCUAAUCAGAAAGCCACGGCUAACUACGUG